CUCUAUGGCCAUGCUAACCUGAAUGUGCCCGAUCUCGACUGAUCUUGGAAGCUAAGCAGGGUCAUGCCUGGUUAGUGCUUGGAUGGGAAACCACCUAGGAAGACCAGGUGCUGUAGGUG
rnacentral:rRNA from 1 species